rnacentral:rRNA from 1 species
CAGUCGCCGCGGGAAUACGUAGGUGGCAAGCGUUGUCCGGAACUAUUGGGCGUAAAGCGAGCGCAGGCGGUCAAUUAAGUCUGAUGUGAAAGCCCCCGGCUCAACCGGGGAGGGUCAUUGGAAACUGGGAAACUUGAGUGCAGAAGAGGAGAGUGGAAUUCCACGUGUAGCGGUGAAAUGCGUAGAGAUGUGGAGGAACACCAGUGGCGAAGGCGACUCUCUGGUCUGUAACUGACGCUGAGGAGCGAAAGCGUGGGGAGCGAACAGGAUUAGAUACCCCAGUAGUCCCUGUCUCUUAUAA